rnacentral:rRNA from 2 species
UUAAGCGACUAAGCGUACACGGUGGAUGCCCUGGCAGUCAGAGGCGAUGAAGGGCGUGCUAAUCUGCGAUAAGCGCCGGUAAGGUGAUAUGAACCGUUAUAACCGGCGAUACCCGAAUGGGGAAACCCAGUGUGAUUCGUCACACUAUCAUUAACUGAAUCCAUAGGUUAAUGAGGCGAACCGGGGGAACUGAAACAUCUAAGUACCCCGAGGAAAAGAAAUCAACCGAGAUUCCCCCAGUAGCGGCGAGCGAACGGGGAGGAGCCCAGAGCCUGAAUCAGCAUGUGUGUUAGUGGAAGCGUCUGGAAAGGCGCGCGAUACAGGGUGACAGCCCCGUACACAAAAGCGCAUGUGCUGUGAGCUCGAUGAGUAGGGCGGGACACGUGGUAUCCUGUCUGAAUAUGGGGGGACCAUCCUCCAAGGCUAAAUACUCCUGACUGACCGAUAGUGAACCAGUACCGUGAGGGAAAGGCGAAAAGAACCCCGGCGAGGGGAGUGAAAAAGAACCUGAAACCGUGUACGUACAAGCAGUGGGAGCACAGGUUUACCUGUGUGACUGCGUACCUUUUGUAUAAUGGGUCAGCGACUUAUAUUCUGUAGCAAGGUUAACCGAAUAGGGGAGCCGGAGGGAAACCGAGUCUUAACCGGGCGUUAAGUUGCAGGGUAUAGACCCGAAACCCGGUGAUCUAGCCAUGGGCAGGUUGAAGGUUGGGUAACACUAACUGGAGGACCGAACCGACUAAUGUUGAAAAAUUAGCGGAUGACCUGUGGCUGGGGGUGAAAGGCCAAUCAAACCGGGAGAUAGCUGGUUCUCCCCGAAAGCUAUUUAGGUAGCGCCUCGUGAAUUCAUCUCCGGGGGUAGAGCACUGUUUCGGCUAGGGGGCCAUCCCGGCUUACCAACCCGAUGCAAACUGCGAAUACCGGAGAAUGUUAUCACGGGAGACACACGGCGGGUGCUAACGUCCGUCGUGAAGAGGGAAACAACCCAGACCGCCAGCUAAGGUCCCAAAGUCAUGGUUAAGUGGGAAACGAUGUGGGAAGGCCCAGACAGCCAGGAUGUUGGCUUAGAAGCAGCCAUCAUUUAAAGAAAGCGUAAUAGCUCACUGGUCGAGUCGGCCUGCGCGGAAGAUGUAACGGGGCUAAACCAUGCACCGAAGCUGCGGCAGCGACGCUUAUGCGUUGUUGGGUAGGGGAGCGUUCUGUAAGCCUGUGAAGGUGUGUCGUGAGGCAUGCUGGAGGUAUCAGAAGUGCGAAUGCUGACAUAAGUAACGAUAAAGCGGGUGAAAAGCCCGCUCGCCGGAAGACCAAGGGUUCCUGUCCAACGUUAAUCGGGGCAGGGUGAGUCGACCCCUAAGGCGAGGCCGAAAGGCGUAGUCGAUGGGAAACGGGUUAAUAUUCCCGUACUUGGUGUUACUGCGAAGGGGGGACGGAGAAGGCUAUGUUGGCCGGGCGACGGUUGUCCCGGUUUAAGCGUGUAGGUGUGUGUUCCAGGUAAAUCCGGUUCACUUUAACACUGAGGCGUGACGACGAGGCACUACGGUGCUGAAGCAACAAAUGCCCUGCUUCCAGGAAAAGCCUCUAAGCAUCAGGUAACAUCAAAUCGUACCCCAAACCGACACAGGUGGUCAGGUAGAGAAUACCAAGGCGCUUGAGAGAACUCGGGUGAAGGAACUAGGCAAAAUGGUGCCGUAACUUCGGGAGAAGGCACGCUGACACGUAGGUGAAGUGAUUUACUCAUGGAGCUGAAGUCAGUCGAAGAUACCAGCUGGCUGCAACUGUUUAUUAAAAACACAGCACUGUGCAAACACGAAAGUGGACGUAUACGGUGUGACGCCUGCCCGGUGCCGGAAGGUUAAUUGAUGGGGUCAGCGCAAGCGAAGCUCCUGAUCGAAGCCCCGGUAAACGGCGGCCGUAACUAUAACGGUCCUAAGGUAGCGAAAUUCCUUGUCGGGUAAGUUCCGACCUGCACGAAUGGCGUAAUGAUGGCCAGGCUGUCUCCACCCGAGACUCAGUGAAAUUGAACUCGCUGUGAAGAUGCAGUGUACCCGCGGCAAGACGGAAAGACCCCGUGAACCUUUACUAUAGCUUGACACUGAACAUUGAGCCUUGAUGUGUAGGAUAGGUGGGAGGCUUUGAAGCGUGGACGCCAGUCUGCGUGGAGCCGACCUUGAAAUACCACCCUUUAAUGUUUGAUGUUCUAACGUGGACCCGUGAUCCGGGUUGCGGACAGUGUCUGGUGGGUAGUUUGACUGGGGCGGUCUCCUCCUAAAGAGUAACGGAGGAGCACGAAGGUUGGCUAAUCCUGGUCGGACAUCAGGAGGUUAGUGCAAUGGCAUAAGCCAGCUUGACUGCGAGCGUGACGGCGCGAGCAGGUGCGAAAGCAGGUCAUAGUGAUCCGGUGGUUCUGAAUGGAAGGGCCAUCGCUCAACGGAUAAAAGGUACUCCGGGGAUAACAGGCUGAUACCGCCCAAGAGUUCAUAUCGACGGCGGUGUUUGGCACCUCGAUGUCGGCUCAUCACAUCCUGGGGCUGAAGUAGGUCCCAAGGGUAUGGCUGUUCGCCAUUUAAAGUGGUACGCGAGCUGGGUUUAGAACGUCGUGAGACAGUUCGGUCCCUAUCUGCCGUGGGCGCUGGAGAACUGAGGGGGGCUGCUCCUAGUACGAGAGGACCGGAGUGGACGCAUCACUGGUGUUCGGGUUGUCAUGCCAAUGGCACUGCCCGGUAGCUAAAUGCGGAAGAGAUAAGUGCUGAAAGCAUCUAAGCACGAAACUUGCCCCGAGAUGAGUUCUCCCUGAGACUUAGAGUCUCCUGAAGGAACGUUGAAGACGACGACGUUGAUAGGCCGGGUGUGUAAGCGCAGCGAUGCGUUGAGCUAACCGGUACUAAUGAACCGUGAGGCUUAACCUU